AUAAAUUUGGCACUUGAACAAUUUAAUAUGAAGUUGACAUUACUUUUGAUUUGUUUAAAUGCGCACGAGAGAAGGAAUGGGAUUAGAAUUGAAUAUCAAUUUCAAUGAUAGUUGCUGAUGCGAGUUGUGCUGGAGUGCCUGCACUCCACAAGCCUUCAGUUUUGCCCCGAUUUGUCGUGUCGCGAUCAUUUUCGUGCAAAUCCCAUUGGAUCAUCACUUAUUUACUUGCAAGUACGAGAACCUCUGCGUAUUGGUUUACUAUGCCAUGAGCUAUGGGCCACUUCCCUGCCGUGCCUUCCUCAGCAACUCCCUCGGCCUCUCCAGUUGUUGAUCGAGAAGGGAAAAGUUUAAAGAAGCGGGAAUUGCCUCAUCUAUUUCCAGACCAGUUGGCUCCACCCCAUGCUUUUCCAGCUUACCAAAGAUUUUAGCCAAGUUUGGUCAGCAAUUGUCGAAAGAAGAUAAUAAGCCAAAAGGAUUCUAUGCCUAUGGUGGAACAGCUGCCUCCUUUCGGAAAAAGAAACCCAACAAGAAUCUUACAGGUUGUUGGCCCGUCACCUUUCAAGACGAAUCGAACUUCCCAACCCCUUCCAUCCACAUCUCACCUUCAUCUACGUAUUUGCCCUGCCCUUCUCCGUAAAUUACAAUGCUGCCCCUCUUUCCUCCUGGGGUCGGAUAACUCGCCCAAAGAUAUUGUCAACUGUCCCACAACUUGUGUCAUCAUCUGUGAUGCUCUCUCCCGCCCCACCACAGAUAAUAAAGAAGGAGACAAAGAGAGGAAAGAGAGACCGGAACAGCAGAAAAAAGAAGCGCAAAACAAAAGCAAAGGCCAAACACCUCGUCUCUCUGUCUCUCUCUCUCUCUCUCUCUCUCUCUCACCUCACCUCACCUCUGUUGUAUAGUCGUAAUACUUUGCUUUGCAAACAAGCACUUUGUUCCCUUCUCGAUCCACUCUUCAAAAUAUACCACCCCCUUCAAAGAGGAGGAGCAGGAUCUCUUUUCUCCCGUUCGGUUCUCAGUCUCCCACCCGCUCACAUCACUCCUCACAGUCCCCAAGAAAAGUGCCCCCCCAGCAAGAGAUCAACAAAUCUCCUCGCCCCCCGUCUCUUCUACCCCA